GCGUCCCUGCCACGUGACGCCAGGGCUGUCGUCUGCCCCGCACAGGACAGUGACUACUCCCACCGCCCAGCUGCGCCUGCCGACUGCCCGGCCCACCCCACCUCGCUCUUGGCCACCCCAUGUCCAUCUCCUUGGCCCGGCUUCGAUGGGUGGCAUGGCGGGGUGCCGCCUAGCACUGCACCGGGAGAGAGUGUGAGCCGCUGACCCAAUGGACAUCAAAGGCCAGUUCUGGAACGACGAUGAUUCGGAGGGCGACAAUGAAUCGGAGGAGUUUCUCUACGGAGUUCAGGGCACCUGUGCCGCAGACCUGUACCGCCACCCGCAGCUAGAUGCUGACAUCGAGGCCGUGAAGGAGAUCUACGCCGAGAGCUGUGUGGCCAUCAGGGAAUACGGAACCAUCGAUGAUGUGGACAUUGACCUCCACGUCAACGUCAGCUUCCUCGACGAGGAGGUCUCCACGGCCUGGAAGGUUCUCCGCACGGAGCCGGUUGUGCUGCGGCUGCGCUUUUCUCUGUCCCAGUACCUCGACGGGCCAGAGCCGUCAAUUGAGGUUUUCCAGCCAUCGAAUAAGGAAGGGUUUGGGUUGGGUCUUCAGUUGAAAAAGAUUCUGGGGCUGUUCACCUCCCAGCAAUGGAAGCACCUCAGCAACGACUUCCUGAAGACGCAGCAGGAGAAGAGGCACAGCUGGUUCAAGGCGAGCGGCACCAUCAAGAAGUUUCGGGCUGGCCUCAGCAUCUUCUCGCCCAUGCCCAAGUCCCCCAGCUUCCCCAUCAUCCAAGAUUCUGUACUGAAAGGCAAGCUGGGCGUGCCAGAGCUCCGGGCCGGACGCCUCAUGAACCGCUCCAUCUCCUGCACCGUGAAGAACCCCAAAGUUGAGGUCUUCGGCUACCCCCCCAGCCCCCAGGCAGGUCUUCUGUGCCCCCAGCACGUGGGCCUACCUCCCCCAGCGCGGACCUCUCCCUUGGUCAGCGGGCACUGCAAGAGCAUCCCCACCCUGGAGUACGGCUUCCUGGUCCAGAUCAUGAAGUACGCGGAGCAAAGGAUCCCCACACUGAACGAGUACUGCGUGGUGUGUGACGAACAGCACGUCUUCCAGAAUGGGUCCAUGCUCAAGCCAGCUGUCUGCACGCGGGAGCUGUGUGUCUUCUCUUUCUACACCCUGGGGGUCAUGUCCGGAGCUGCGGAGGAAGUGGCCACUGGAGCAGAGGUGGUGGACCUGCUGGUGGCCAUGUGCAGGGCAGCCUUGGAGUCCCCGAGGAAGAGCAUCAUCUUUGAGCCUUACCCCUCUGUGGUGGACCCUGCCGACCCCAAGACUCUGGCCUUUAACCCUAAGAAGAAGAAUUACGAGCGGCUCCAGAAAGCUCUGGAUAGUGUCAUGUCCAUCCGGGAGAUGACCCAGGGCUCGUAUCUAGAGAUCAAGAAGCAGAUGGACAAGCUGGACCCCCUGGCCCACCCUCUCCUGCAGUGGAUCAUCUCCAGCAACAGGUCACACAUUGUCAAACUACCUCUCAGCAGGCAGCUGAAGUUCAUGCACACCUCACACCAGUUCCUCCUGCUGAGCAGCCCUCCAGCCAAGGAAGCUCGCUUCCGGACGGCCAAGAAGCUCUAUGGCAGCACCUUCGCCUUCCACGGGUCCCACAUCGAGAACUGGCAUUCGAUCCUGCGCAACGGACUUGUCAACGCGUCCUACACCAAACUGCAGCUGCACGGAGCAGCCUAUGGCAAAGGCAUCUACCUGAGCCCCAUCUCCAGUAUUUCCUUUGGAUACUCAGGUAAGAAAGCCCGCCCCCGUGGCUGGCUCGCUCGCUCGCUCACUCGCUCGCAGCUCUGUCUCCUCCGUCCCAGGCGCGUCCUGGCGUUGGGCGCUAGGUGCCGUCCAAUCCCCUGCCACGCAUUCUGCUCUCCCAUACCAGGAUGGGGUCCCCUCAGCCCGGGGGCGGCUAGGGGGGUAGUCUGCAUAGAGCAGGCCUAGGUGGCGUCAGGAGCUGUCCCUGGUGCGUGAGUUACUGGGCCUCGGGCACUGUAGCUGCUCGUGUUUGUAGACUGCUUCCUGCUGCCUGGACCCUCUUGUAACUCAGACUGUCUGCAGUCACGCACCUCUGUCCGCACACAGUGCGGGAGAAGGCACUGACCUGACAAGGCCCGUGCACGCGCCAGGCUCUCGUCAGGAGCAGAGUCAGACUUGUCCAGCUUACAAAGUGACUGACUUAGAGCGCUCAGCGUUACGAGUUCCUGUUUUAGCUCUGCUGUCUGUGUUCUGUGUGGCCUUCGUGUGAAGGGUAGAUAACCAGUGCGCAGCGCGUGACUUCAGGAGCAGGCAAGAGAGGCAGUCGGGCCGGAUUGUAGAGGUGCGUGACUCCAGGAGCAGGCAAGAUAGGCCUGGAUGGUAGAGGCGUCAGUAGAAAUGUCUCUGAGAGGGCAGGAGUAGACAGCAUAAUGGUUAUGCAAAGACAUUCACAUGCCUGAGGUUCCAAUGUCCGGGGUUCAGUCCCCCAUACCACCAUAAGCCAGAGCUGAGCAAUGCUCUGGCAUAAAUAAAUAAAUGUCUCUAAGAACUGGGUGGGCCAAACAAAGGAGAAGAAAGAGGCUAAUAUACGUGAGAGCCAAAACCAAUGAAAUAGGUGCGACAGUACCGAAAAGCUCAAAGGUGACCCUAAAAACAAACAAAUGGGUGGUCCAGAGGUGGUGCAGUGGAGAAAGCAUUGGGUCCUCAACCAUGAGGUCCGAGUAGACAGCAUAAUGGUUAUGCAAAGAGAUUCUCGUGCCUGAGGCUCCACAGUCCCAGGUUCAAUCCCCCACACCACCAUAAGCCAGAGCUGAGCAGUGCUGUGGUAAAAAAAAAAAAGGGGGUGGGGGGAGUCAGGCAGUAUAAGCGCACAUGGCGCAAAGCACAAGGACCAGCUGAAGGAUCCCGG